CGCACAGGUGGUGCAUCACAGCGUCAGACUCACAGAGGAUGUGUAGCCGAGGCAAUGACACGUGGACGGCGCUGAUGGCGGCCAGAACCUCUUGGGCGUCUUGGUCACACACGGCCAGGCUGAGCACCCCCAGGUCCCGCCACUCCUGCAGCAGCUGUGUGCCGGCACCACUUAAGUGACCCAUGAACCUCUCAAGAAACAGUUGGCCAAAAUAAUAAUGGCAGAAGUAAGACUAAGCUUUGAAGAAAGAACAUGUCAUAAAGUGUUACUGGAGGCACGAAAAUGUCAAAGAAGUGCAAAGACAAUUCACAAGACACUUUGACAGGGAUCCACCAAGGUGACGCGCCAUUGC